rnacentral:misc_RNA from 1 species
ACUUCAUUGGUGAUCACCUUCAGAGAUGUGUUAUUCCAGUAGGUCCUCGUUUCCAAGCUGAUGUUCCAGAGUGGACUGUCCCAGCAGACAAGGGUAACUCUGAUUAUGAAGCCAGUAACUCUGACAAUUCAAAAUGGUUAGGGACCAGAGUUUGGCCUACUGAGAAUGAAGAUUUGGAAGUGUCUUCUAGAGUAAUUGGAAAGGGCAGACCUCACACUUGCUCUUGUCGUUCUCCAGGAACUGCUGUCUGUGUCAAACGCCACAUUUCUGAGGAAAGGCUACGUCUACA